GUCAUAGUGAUUGACUAUGAGAAGUUUUGGCAGCAUCUCAUCUCUCUACAUUUAGGAUUUCCUAAUAGUUUUGGUAUUACAUUUUUUGGGUGAAGAUUGUACUCAUGUGAAGGCAUCAUUUAUCCUUCUUGAUGAACUCGACGAUGUCUUUAAGUUUGUAACAGAUGAGCUUUUACAUCCUUCAGACUUCAGUAGAUGACCACAAUUAUUCAUUCGUACUUCCGGUAAUGGCUUUCAAGAAAGGUGUCCUAAAUGUCAAAGUGCUUGGGACACUGAAGAUUCACUUACCAAUCGAUGGAAAGAUACCUCCAUUAAGUUGUAUUUUAAGGAAAGAUGUAUAUUAAUAUAACGGUAAGGUACCACAUUGCUUGAUUUAUUGAAUAGAGUGGAUUAAAAACUGGAAGGUGUUAGAAUUUACUAUUACAUUAUUGUGGUACUAAUUAGCAUUUUUAGUCUCAUUUGCAUGUGCAAGUUUGGAAAGACUUACCGCUAUAUAAGAUGAGCUCUUUGAUGCUUAUUAUGACAAAGAUAGAAAAAUAAGUUAUUUAGUAGGUGGUAUUUGUUUGUUUGUUUGUUUUUUAUAGUACGUAAAGCAUAGUUCAUAAAGUAAUCUCUGGAUUCUGAUGUCUUAAAUUUCAGAUGUGUCUUCAGACAAUGAACAAUUUUAUUAGGUGUAUGUGCUAGUGAUGAAUUAAAUGUUAUGUUGAAAAGUCAUUUGCAUAAUAUUACUUUCAA